GCGGUAUUGGUGAAGUGGUUAACACACCGGAUUGUGGUUCCGGCACGCGUGAGUUCGAUUCUCACAUACCGCC
rnacentral:tRNA from 2 species